UACGGAGGGAGCUAGCGUUGUUCGGAUAUACUGGGCGUAAAGCGCACGUAGGCGGCGCAGCAAGUCAGGGGUGAAAUCCCGGAGCUCAACUCCGGAACUGCCUUUGAAACUGCAGUGCUAGAAUUCUGGAGAGGCGAGUGGAAUUCCGAGUGUAGAGGUGAAAUUCGUAGAUAUUGGGAAGAACACCAGUGGCGAAGGCGGCUCACUGGCCCGUAACUGACGCUGAGGUGCGAAAAGCGUGGGGAGCAAACAGGG
rnacentral:rRNA from 1 species